AACGACUCUCGGCAACGGAUAUCUCGGCUCUCGCAUCGAUGAAGAACGUAGCGAAAUGCGAUACUUGGUGUGAAUUGCAGAAUCCCGCGAACCAUCGAGUCUUUGAACGCAAGUUGCGCCCGAAGCCUUCUGGCCAAGGGCACGUCUGCCUGGGUGUCACUC
rnacentral:rRNA from 2 species